GAUGAAGAACGCAGCGAAAUGCGAUAAGUAAUGUGAAUUGCAGAAUUCAGUGAAUCAUCGAAUCUUUGAACGCACAUUGCGCCCGCCAGUAUUCUGGCGGGCAUGCCUGUUCGAGCGUCAUUUCAACCAUCAAGCCCCAGGCUUGUGUUGGGGACCUGCGGCUGCCGCAGGCCCUGAAAACCAGUGGCGGGCUCGCUGUCACACUGGGCGUAGUAGAUUUUAUCUCGCUCAGGGCGUGCUGCGGGUUCCGGCCGUUAAAAAGCCUUUUUUACCCAAGGUUGACCUCGGAUCAGGUAGGAAGACCCGCUGAACUUAAGCAUAUCAAUAAGCGGAGGA
rnacentral:misc_RNA from 1 species